UCACUUGAGAUUUGCACUUGCCUUAAU
rnacentral:piRNA from 1 species